AGUGAACGCUGGCGGCGGGCCUAAUACAUGCAAGUCGAACGGCAGCAUAGUAAGAUUGCGCUUCUACCGGUGGCGGGUGGCGGACGGGUGACGAAUAGAUCGGCUACCUCUUUUUCUUGGGUGACUUCGGGGAGCAAGUGCUGCUACUACCUCAUAUGUCGAACGGGAGGAUUCAGUGGUGCAAGGCGGCUUUGGCGACAGUUUUAGCCGGAUCCGCGUCGGAUUAGCUAGUUGGUAAGGUAACGGCUUACCAAGGCGACGAUGCGUAGCUGAUCUGAGAGGAUGAUCAGCCACACUGGAACUGAGACACGGUCCAGACUCCUACGGGAGGCAGCAGUAGGGAAUAUUGGGCAAUGGGCGAAAGCCUGACCCAGCAACACCGCGUGAGUGAAGAAGGCCUUCGGGUUGUAAAGCCCUUUUGUUGGGAAAGAAAAGCAGCAGGUUAAUACCCCGCUGUUCUGACGGUACCCAAAGAAUAAGCACCGGCUAACUUCGUG
rnacentral:rRNA from 1 species